AGUAUUAGUUAUGAUCUUGAAACUCAAAGAAUUUGACGGUAUUUCAUUCCGUUCAGAGGAAGGUGUCCUGUAAUUGAUGAUUCACGAUUAACUUUACUUUGUUUAUUUGUUUGUAUACCUCCGUUAUCAGAAUAUCUUUUUAGAGAUUUAAUUUUCUGGGAAUUUUAAUAGAUUUUAUUUCAGGUCAAGGUGCAGCUUAUAAUAAAGAAGAGAUGGGUUACAAUAAAAUUAAGGUUAAACGAAUUACAAUAUUAAUUUUUGUAUGAAGGUGGAUUUGAGAGUAAUUUAAGUUAAAUAACUUAAAUGACUUGAGCUCUGGAGUGUGU
rnacentral:rRNA from 1 species